ACGACCUUAGUUGAACAGGAUCUGUCUAUAGGCUCAUACAACUUUAUUCUUGAGUUCUAAGCAGAAUAUUGCAAGGUUUAGGUUGUUGGCUAAGU
rnacentral:snoRNA from 1 species